rnacentral:rRNA from 1 species
AACGAACGCUGGCGGCAUGCCUAACACAUGCAAGUCGAACGAGACCUUCGGGUCUAUUGGCGUACGGGGGCGUAACGCGUGGGAACCUGCCCUUAGGUUCGGAAUAACUCCCCGAAAGGGGUGCUAAUACCGGAUAAUGUCUUCGGACCAAAGAUUUAUCGCCUUUGGAUGGGCCCGCGUUGGAUUAGCUAGUUGGUAGGGUAAAGGCCUACCAAGGCGACGAUCCAUAGCUGGUCUGAGAGGAUGAUCAGCCACACUGGGACUGAGACACGGCCCAGACUCCUACGGGAGGCAGCAGUGGGGAAUAUUGGACAAUGGGCGAAAGCCUGAUCCAGCAAUGCCGCGUGAGUGAUGAAGGCCUUAGGGUUGUAAAGCUCUUUUACCCGGGAUGAUAAUGACAGUACCGGGAGAAUAAGCCCCGGCUAACUCCGUG